GGUGGCCGGGUAAGUCGGAUGUGAAAUCUCGGAGCUCAACUCCGAAAUGGCAUUGGAAGCUGCUCGGCUUGAGGGUCGGAGGGGGGACUGGAAUUCUCGGUGUAGCAGUGAAAUGCGUAGAUAUCGAGAGGAACACCAGUGGCGAAGGCGAGUCCCUGGACGACUCCUGACACUGAGGCACGAAAGCUAGGGGAGCAAACAGGAUUAGAUACCCUGGUAGUCCUAGCCGUAAACGGUGCACGUUUGCUGUAAAAGGAAUCGACCCCUUUUGUGGCGGAGCCAACGCGUUAAACGUGCCGCCUGGGAAGUACGGUCGCAAGAUUAAAACUCAAAGAAAUUGACGGGGGCCUGCACAAGCGGUGGAGUAUGUGGCUCAAUUCGAUGCAACGCGAAGAACCUUACCUGGCCUUGACAUGUACGUAGUAGAAGGGUGAAAGCCUGACGAGGUAGCAAUACCAGCGUACACAGGUGCUGCAUGGCUGUCGUCAGCUCGUGUCGUGAGAUGUUGGGUUAAGUCCCGCAACGAGCGCAACCCUUGUGUCCUGUUGCCACCCCGGCGAGAGCCGGGAGCACUCUGGACAGACUGCCUCGCUUAAACGAGGAGGAAGGUGGGGAUGACGUCAAGUCAGUAUGGCCCUUACGGCCAGGGCUGCACACGUACUACAAUGCCCGGUACAAAGGGAAGCGAUACCGUCAGGUGGAGCAAAUCCCCGAAAUCCGGGCCCAGUUCAGAUUGUCGUCUGCAACUCGACGGCAUGAAGUUGGAAUCGCUAGUAAUGGCGCAUCAGCUACGGCGCCGUGAAUACGUUCCCAGGCCUUGUACACACCGCCCGUCACAUCAUGAAAGCCGUUUGUACCCGAAGUCACCGUGCCAACCGCAAGGAGGCAGGUGCCGAAGGUAUGGAUGGUGAUUGGGAUGAAGUCGUAACAAGGUAACC
rnacentral:rRNA from 1 species